UGCUGCCAUCCGAAUUUGAACUUGUUGUUGGACUUCAGAAAGUAGAUCUAGAUCAGCUCUCCAAUAUUCUGAAUUGCUCGGCUCACUGUAUUGUUCCAUCCUUGCUGAUGGUAAUCCAAUCUCAAGUGGGAUCAUCGCUUCUAUUUCAUAAGCCAGAUUGAAUAAUGAUUCUCCCAUUGGUAUAUGAGGAGUCAUUCGGUAUGCCCA
rnacentral:lncRNA from 1 species